CAGUGUACCCGCGGCAAGACGGAAAGACCCCGUGAACCUUUACUAUAGCUUGACACUGAACACUGGUCCUUGAUGUGUAGGAUAGGUGGGAGGCUUUGAAGCGUGGACGCCAGUCUGCGUGGAGCCGCCCUUGAAAUACCACCCUUUAAUGGCUGGUGUUCUAACGUAGACCCGUAAUCCGGGUUGCGGACAGUGUCUGGUGGGUAGUUUGACUGGGGCGGUCUCCUCCCAAAGAGUAACGGAGGAGCACGAAGG
rnacentral:rRNA from 1 species